GAUAGAAGAACGUAGCGAAAUGCGAUAAGUAGUGUGAAUUGCAGAAUUCAGUGAAUCAUCGAAUCUUUGAACGCACAUUGCGGCCAUAGGUAUUCCUUUGGCCAUGCCUGUUCGAGCGUCAUUUACACCCUCAAGCCUAGCUUGGUGUUGGGCGCCUGUCCCGCCGUUUUCGCGCGCGGACUCGCCUCAAAGUCAUUGGCGGCGGUCGUGCCGGCCCCCUCGCGCAGCACAUUUGCGCUUCUCGGAGGCCCGGCGGAUCCGCGCUCCAGCAAGACCUUUCACGACUUGACCUCGGAUCAGGUAGGGAUACCCGCUGAACUUAAGCAUAUCAAUAAGCGGAGGA
rnacentral:misc_RNA from 1 species